rnacentral:rRNA from 2 species
GCGACCCCAGGUCAGGCGGGACUACCCGCUGAGUUUAAGCAUAUAAAUAAGC